GAUGAACGCUGGCGGCGUGCCUAAUACAUGCAAGUCGAGCGAACAGACGAGGAGCUUGCUCCUCUGACGUUAGCGGCGGACGGGUGAGUAACACGUGGAUAACCUACCUAUAAGACUGGGAUAACUUCGGGAAAUCGGAGCUAAUACCGGAUAAUAUAUUGAACCGCAUGGUUCAAUAGUGAAAGACGGUUUUGCUGUCACUUAUAGAUGGAUCCGCGCCGCAUUAGCUAGUUGGUAAGGUAACGGCUUACCAAGGCGACGAUGCGUAGCCGACCUGAGAGGGUGAUCGGCCACACUGGAACUGAGACACGGUCCAGACUCCUACGGGAGGCAGCAGUAGGGAAUCUUCCGCAAUGGGCGAAAGCCUGACGGAGCAACGCCGCGUGAGUGAUGAAGGUCUUCUGAUCGUAAAACUCUGUUAUUAGGGAAGAACAAAUGUGUAAGUAACUAUGCACGUCUUGACGGUACCUAAUCAGAAAGCCACGGCUAACUACGUG
rnacentral:rRNA from 1 species